rnacentral:rRNA from 1 species
GACAGAGGGUGCAAACGUUGUUCGGAAUUACUGGGCGUAAAGCGCGUGUAGGCUGCUCAGAAAGUCGGAUGUGAAAGCCCUGGGCUUAACCUAGGAAGUGCAUUCGAAACUUCUGAGCUUGAGGACUGGAGAGGAGACUGGAAUUCAUGGUGUAGCAGUGAAAUGCGUAGAGAUCAUGAGGAAGACCAGUGGCGAAGGCGGGUCUCUGGACAGUUCCUGACACUGAGACACGAAGGCCAGGGGAGCAAACGGG